AGACUAGAUGCUGAGUUUUGCAAGAGUGUGUCCACUGCCCAGGGUCUUUGGGAAGUUUAAUUUAUCACCUCUCAUGAAAACUAGAAGGUUCAAUAACCAGUCCCUCUAGAUUUCUACUUCCCUCCCUGCGGUAUCUGCAUCCUUUCUGCCCAGUCCAACGACUUUACUCUUCAGAAAUGCCGAGUCCUGUGCCAAGGCUGCCAUGGUCACGAGGGACAGAAGUCUCAGGAUGGGCCAACCAAGGACCGAAAGGUGGCCUUUGGGUCUGAGCCUUCCUCCACGGAGCGCAGGAGGGAUGGUGGUGGCAGUGCAGUGGCGUGGUUAACAAUGCAACCCAGUAAAAUAGAUUUGAGUUAAACUCUG